rnacentral:rRNA from 1 species
UACGGAGGGUGCAAACGUUGCUCGGAAUCAUUGGGCGUAAAGCGCACGUAGGCGGUCCGGUAAGUCGGAUGUGAAAUCCCUCGGCUCAACCGAGGAAGGGCAUCCGAAACUGCCGGGCUUGAGUACGGAAGAGGGUCUCGGAAUUCCCGGUGUAGAGGUGAAAUUCGUAGAUAUCGGGAGGAACACCAGUGGCGAAGGCGGAGACCUGGGCCGAUACUGACGCUGAGGUGCGAAAGCGUGGGGAGCGAACAGG